rnacentral:rRNA from 1 species
UCCUCCCUCUUUCUUCGUGCCUAAUACAUGCAAGUCGAACGAGAGCAACCGGUGCUUGCACUGGUCAAUCUAGUGGCGAACGGGUGAGUAACACGUGGGUAACCUGCCCAUCAGAGGGGGAUAACAUCCGGAAACGGAUGCUAAAACCGCAUAGGUCUUCGAACCGCAUGGUUUGAAGAGGAAAAGAGGCGCAAGCUUCUGCUGAUGGAUGGACCCGCGGUGCAUUAGCUAGUUGGUGAGGUAACGGCUCACCAAGGCCGUGAUGCAUAGCCGACCUGAGAGGGUGAUCGGCCACAUUGGGACUGAGACACGGCCCAAACUCCUACGGGAGGCAGCAGUAGGGAAUCUUCCGCAAUGGACGCAAGUCUGACGGAGCAACGCCGCGUGAGUGAAGAAGGUUUUCGGAUCGUAAAACUCUGUUGUUAGAGAAGAACAAGUGCUAGAGUAACUGUUAGCGCCUUGACGGUAUCUAACCAGAAAGCCACGGCUAACUACGUG